rnacentral:rRNA from 1 species
GUAGGUGGCAAGCGUUGUCCGGAAUUAUUGGGCGUAAAGCGCGCGCAGGCGGUUCUUUAAGUCUGAUGUGAAAGCCCACGGCUCAACCGUGGAGGGUCAUUGGAAACUGGAGAACUUGAGUACAGAAGAGGAAAGCGGAAUUCCACGUGUAGCGGUGAAAUGCGUAGAGAUGUGGAGGAACACCCGUGGCGAAGGCGGCUUUCUGGUCUGUAGCUGACGCUGAGGCGCGAAAGCGUGGGGGGAGCAAACAGGAUUAGAUACCCUGGUAGUCCACGCCGUAAACGAUGAGUGCUAAGUGUUAGGGGGGUUUUCCCGCCCCUUAGUGCUGCAGCUAACGCAUUAAGCACUCCGCCUGGGAGUACGGCCGCAAGGCUG